rnacentral:rRNA from 1 species
AUUGAACGCUGGCGGCAGGCUUAACACAUGCAAGUCGAGCGGAGAGAGGUAGCUUGCUACUGAUCUUAGCGGCGGACGGGUGAGUAAUGCUUAGGAAUCUGCCUAUUAGUGGGGGACAACAUUUCGAAAGGAAUGCUAAUACCGCAUACGUCCUACGGGAGAAAGCAGGGGACCUUCGGACCUUGCGCUAAUAGAUGAGCCUAAGUCGGAUUAGCUAGUUGGUGGGGUAAAGGCCUACCAAGGCGACGAUCUGUAGCGGGGCUGAGAGGAGGAGCCGCCACACUGGGACUGGGACACGGCCCAGACUCCUACGGGGGGCAGCAGUGGGGAAUAUUGGACAAUGGGCGGAAGCCUGAUCUAGCCAUGCCGCGUGUGUGAAGAAGGCCUUAUGGUUGUAAAGCACUUUAAGCGAGGAGGAGGCUACUUUAGUUAAUACCUAGAGAUAGUGGACGUUACUCGCAGAAUAAGCACCGGCUAACUCUGUGCCAGCAGCCGCCGUAA